rnacentral:rRNA from 1 species
UAGAUACCCUGGUAGUCCACGCCCUAAACGAUGCGAACUGGAUGUUGGUCUCAACUCGGAGAUCAGUGUCGAAGCUAACGCGUUAAGUUCGCCGCCUGGGGAGUACGGUCGCAAGACUGAAACUCAAAGGAAUUGACGGGGGCCCGCACAAGCGGUGGAGUAUGUGGUUUAAUUCGAUGCAACGCGAAGAACCUUACCUGGCCUUGACAUGUCUGGAAUCCUGCAGAGAUGCGGGAGUGCCUUCGGGAAU